GAAUUGUUGGUUUAUGGUGGAAUUGGACAUACACCUCUCUUCCUCUUUCAAAACCCCUAAAACCUGUUUUCGGUGGGGUUUGGGUGCAUGCCAGUUGUGGGAAGUAGCACCCCGGCCACUAUAAGGAUUAAGCUCGGGCCUCUGUUGCAAAGCACUACCGUACUUCCACAUGUCUAGUGGGUAAGGCUUAGUUUGUGGCUCAGUCUAGUCAUAAACAAAAGUACACGGAUUGGAGAUGGAUGAAGUCGGGGGUCGAUGGACAUUCUCCAGGGCAAAUGAAGGCUACACGAGCUGCGGCCCGGUAGUCGAGAUGUCAUGGCACAGGGCCGGUGUCCUGCUGCUAGGGGCUCAGU
rnacentral:misc_RNA from 1 species